GACGCAUUCUGGCGGCGUGCUUAACACAUGCAAGUCGAACGGAAAGGCCCUGCUUUUGUGGGGUGCUCGAGUGGCGAACGGGUGAGUAACACGUGAGUAACCUGCCCUUGACUUUGGGAUAACUUCAGGAAACUGGGGCUAAUACCGGAUAGGAGCUCCUGCUGCAUGGUGGGGGUUGGAAAGUUUCGGCGGUUGGGGAUGGACUCGCGGCUUAUCAGCUUGUUGGUGGGGUAGUGGCUUACCAAGGCUUUGACGGGUAGCCGGCCUGAGAGGGUGACCGGCCACAUUGGGACUGAGAUACGGCCCAGACUCCUACGGGAGGCAGCAGUGGGGAAUAUUGCACAAUGGGCGGAAGCCUGAUGCAGCAACGCCGCGUGCGGGAUGACGGCCUUCGGGUUGUAAACCGCUUUCGCCUGUGACGAAGCGUGAGUGACGGUAAUGGGUAAAGAAGCACCGGCUAACUACGUGCCAGCAGCCGCGGUGAUACGUAGGGUGCGAGCGUUGUCCGGAUUUAUUGGGCGUAAAGGGCUCGUAGGUGGUUGAUCGCGUCGGAAGUGUAAUCUUGGGGCUUAACCCUGAGCGUGCUUUCGAUACGGGUUGACUUGAGGAAGGUAGGGGAGAAUGGAAUUCCUGGUGGAGCGGUGGAAUGCGCAGAUAUCAGGAGGAACACCAGUGGCGAAGGCGGUUCUCUGGGCCUUUCCUGACGCUGAGGAGCGAAAGCGUGGGGAGCGAACAGGCUUAGAUACCCUGGUAGUCCACGCUGUAAACGGUGGGUACUAGGUGUGGGGUCCAUUCCACGGGUUCCGUGCCGUAGCUAACGCUUUAAGUACCCCGCCUGGGGAGUACGGCCGCAAGGCUAAAACUCAAAGGAAUUGACGGGGCCCCGCACAAGCGGCGGAGCAUGCGGAUUAAUUCGAUGCAACGCGUAGAACCUUACCUGGGUUUGACAUGGAUCGGGAGUGCUCAGAGAUGGGUGUGCCUCUUUUGGGGUCGGUUCACAGGUGGUGCAUGGCUGUCGUCAGCUCGUGUCGUGAGAUGUUGGGUUAAGUCCCGCAACGAGCGCAACCCUUGUUCACUGUUGCCAGCACGUUAUGGUGGGGACUCAGUGGAGACCGCCGGGGUCAACUCGGAGGAAGGUGGGGAUGACGUCAAGUCAUCAUGCCCCUUAUGUCCAGGGCUUCACGCAUGCUACAAUGGCUGGUACAGAGAGUGGCGAGCCUGUGAGGGUGAGCGAAUCUCGGAAAGCCGGUCUCAGUUCGGAUUGGGGUCUGCAACUCGACCUCAUGAAGUCGGAGUCGCUAGUAAUCGCAGAUCAGCAACGCUGCGGUGAAUACGUUCCCGGGGCU
rnacentral:rRNA from 1 species